rnacentral:rRNA from 1 species
AUUGAACGCUGGCGGCAGGCCUAACACAUGCAAGUCGAACGAGUGGCGGACGGGUGAGUAAUGUCUGGGACACUGCCCGAUGGAGGGGGAUAACUACGGGAAACGGUAGUUAAUACCGCAUACCCUCGGAUGUGCCCAGAUGGGAUUAGCUAGUAGGGGGGGUAACGGCUCACCUAGGCGACGAUCCCUAGCGGGUCUGAGAGGAUGACCAGCCACACUGGAACUGGGACACGGUCCAGAAUCCUACGGGAGGAAGCAGUGGGGAAUAUUGCACAAUGGGCGCAAGCCUGAUGCAGCCAUGCCGCGUGUGUGAAGAAGGCCUUCGGGUUGUAAAGCACUUUCAGCGGGGAGGCGUUACCCGCAGAAGAAGCACCGGCUAACUCCGUGCCAGCAGCCGCGGUAAUAC